rnacentral:lncRNA from 1 species
AAGCAAUGGGCCUGGGUGAUGUAAUUGGAAAAGUUUUAUAAUUGGAUGGUGAGAGAAGACUGAUGUCUGGCUAUAGAGAGGUUAUGGAUAUCCCAUACUUGGUGAUCCACCUGGGAGAAGUAGGUCUUAAGUUGUUUUACAUCUGGGGUCUCAGGAUCUAGAUUGGUAUACUGUAAAAAUCCCUUUGCAAGACAGGAAUUGAGACACGUUUCCAUGUUUGCCCCGGUUGACUUCUUUCGAUAAACCAGACUCGGAUGUGAGCCACAGUCCGAUAGGAACAGGGAGAAGGAUCAGUAGGCAGAGAUUUAGUGAGUGACAGACACCACACAAGGCUGGAGCUGGAUGUGUCUUUACUGAAUCAAAGCAGCAGAUUAUAUCGACCAAAAAUUAGCAAUGAUUACCGAAUAUUAGAUCAGGUGGUUACAUAAAGGUCAGACAGAAUUCUAAGAAAAAGCUUUAAUAAUUCAUGUGAACCUCAAGCACUUAAAGACAGACACUGCGAUAGUCAUCCCUGGCCUGCGGCUUUUACUUUCUGUUUCCUGGUUUCAGCUGGCACAGCGUCUUUUCAGUCUAUGCCUCUGCUCAAAGGCCUGACCAUCUUUUUUAUACCAACCCAAAAUCCAUUCUUUUGCACUCUCUUCUGAAUGCCAUCCUUCAUCCCUAGAUUGGAGUAUCUCUAACCAGUAACUAUGCCUCUUAAACAAUUGUUCCUGCUGUUCUUCACUUAACAAGCACCAAGGAGGGCGAGACCUUCCUAACCUCUCCAAGAAAGGCAGACUAAACCAAGAGACAAGUUUACUUCUCUCUUGUCUCCAUUCCUGUAAGCUCCAGUAUACGGAAGAGGGUCAUCAGUGGGUUGUGGAAUUUUAUAAUCUUUCCCCUGGGAUUUCAGAGGCACCCACAACCUGUUUCCUAUAACAUAAACUAGACCCUGUGAAGUCAUAAUAGUGACUGUCUCCUUCCUGGGAACACUACUUUCAUUUGCCCUUUCUUGGAAAAGAGUCUUUUCAGGAGUUUUAGCAAUGGUUUGUUAAGUAGUCAUGCACAAAGAAGAAACAAGAUGAGGAAGAAAUUAGCUAUCCUGAGGGCAAACUUGUCCCCAAGGAACUCAAUGCCCAUAAUUAGCAGGAAGUAGCCUAGUGAUGUUGCCCCCUUUCCCUGAUAUCCUUUUCUCUCUCUACCUAGUGUUAGGGGGUUGAUAGGGUGAAAAAAGUGUAUAUAAAGGAGUGGAAGAAAGAAGAACCUACAAAUUAGCAAAGACAGCCUCAGUAGAGAUUUUUCUAAAAGGUAUCCCAAGGGGAAAUGAGAGGGUAUGAAUGACACCAUUCCCAUAGAUGAGCGAGAGAUCACAGUUACAUCUGUCAAGGGCACCCCCAAGACUCAGAGAGGACCAAGAGAAGACCAACCGAUAAGUAGGUCAUUAUCACACUUGAUCGCCUGAGGAGACUCAGUACCUGAAACUAAAGCCAGGGGUGAAGCUCAGGAAGGAGGUCUCAUCUGCAGGACAGGGUUGGGGGAAAGGGCCAAGCAUAGCUUUAAAGACUGUGCCUGGUGGUAUCUCUGCAGUCUCUACUCCUCAGGGAGACUGCUGCCCUUCAGAUGUUCUUAGAACAAGCCCCAGACCUUAGGAGCAUGGAGACCACUGACUCCAUGAUGGAGUUGACAUUUGGUCUGUAAAACUCAGCACAUAGACAGCACCACCUGCCAAUCAAAGCCUAUAGUUCUGGGAAAGUCUCUAAAUGUACAAACCUUGGUUUUUUGGCUUCUAUAGUUUUGCUUCUGGCUCACUGAUCUUGCUAACUGAAGCAUGUUGACCUGGAAUAUGGUUUUUGUGUUUAAGAGCUCACCCUGAGAAAGGCCCUCAGUACUACAAUAGGAUCCUUAACAUCCAGUGUAGUUGCCAACCAGUUAAUAAAGACAUUCUAUUGGCUUAAACCAUGUCCAAGCAAUCUUCUCUGGCUAAUAUCCCACAACAUUCUGAUUAAAGAGCAAUUCUGCUUCUGUAGUUGCCUAUCUACUUUCUAAU